GAGAGAUGGGAUCUUGCUAUGGUCUUUUUUGUUUUGUGUUUUUUUUUUUUUCCCCAGAGAUGAGGGCUUGAUAUAGUUAGCCCAGGCUGGUCUCAAACUCCUGAGCUCAAGCAGUCCUCCCGCCUUGGCCUCCCAAAGUGCUGGGAUUACAGGCAUGAGCCACUGGUAUCCCGCCUUAUCACCAUUUUUUAUUUUUAUUUUUUGAGAUGGAGCCUCGCUGUGUCACCCAGGCUGGAGAGCAUUGGUGCGAUCUCAGCUCACUGCAGCCUCCACAUCCCGGGUUCAAGUGAUUCUCCUGCCUCAGCUUCCUCAGUAGUUGGGACUACAGGCCUGUGCCACCACGCCCGGCUAAUUUUUGUAUUUUUAAUAGAGACAGCAUUUCGCCGUGUUGGCCAGGCUGGUCUGGAACUUCCAGUCUCAGGUGAUCCACCUGCCCAGGCCUCCCAAAAUGCUGGGAUUACAGGCAUGCGCCACCACACCCAGCCUUUACCACCAUAUUUAAAAAAGCUAUUUUGUAGGAUGCUGGUACAAAAUGGGUAGUCAAUUUCAGUUGACUGAUUUCAGAAAAUGAGACCCAGAGAGGUUAUCUGGUAAUUGAUGGGGCAGAGAUUUGAAACUGUAGCCAGAAUGCCUGUUAUUUCCCUCUGUUGUUACACAACUACCUCAGAAUUGUAAUACUUUUACCCAGCAUGAUAAAGUUUGAACUUUACAAUCUCCAGAUUUAAGAAGUAUUGUAAGUCAGUCCUUUUAGUAAUAAUGGCUCGCUAAUGCAGAAAUGGAGGAUGGUUUGAAUUUAUCCUCCCUGCCCCCAGCCCCCGUCGUCUUCCUUUUGCAUGAUCAUCCACUUCAGUUUCUUGAAAAUUUCUAAUCCAAAGUCUCUAGACUUAAAGUUAACUCUUUUUUUUUUUUUUGGUACUUUUAUUGUGGUAAAGUAUACGUAACAUAGAAUUUGCCAUCUUAACCAUUUUUGAGAGUACAACUUAGUGGCAUUAAGUACAUUCACAUUGUUGUGCAACCAUUACCUCCAUCCAUCCAUCCAUCUCCAGAACUUUGUCAUCUUCCCAAAGUGAAAGUAUGUACCCAUUAAAUACUAACUCCCCAUUCCCUUUUUUCUUCACCUUCUGGCAACCAUCAUUCUACUAUCUGUCUCUAUGAAUUUGACUACUCUUAGGUACCUCAUAUAAGUGAAAUUGUACAGUAUUUGUCUUGUUGUGACUGCCAUAUUUCACUUAAUAUAGUGUCCUCAAGAUAUAUCAUGUUGUAUCAUGUCAGAAUUUUCUUCCCCUUUAAGACUGAAUAAUACUCCAUUUUAUGGAUAUAUCACUUUUGUUCAUCUGUUCAUGAACACUUGGAUUUCUUCCUCCUUUUGGCUAUUGUAAAUAAUGCUGCUGUGAACACGCGUGUACAAAUACCUCUUCAAGAUCUGCUGUCACUUCUUUGGGAUGUGUACACUGAAAUGAAAUUGUUGGAUCAUAUGGUAUUUCUGUUUAAUUUUUGGAGGAACCACCAUACCAUUUUCCAAACCACUGCAGCAUUUUACAUUUCUACCAGCAAUGCACAGGGGUUCCUAUUUCUCCACACCCUUGCUAACACUUUUUCUGUUCUUUACUUUUCUUUUCUUUUUUUUGAGACAGGGUCUUGCUUUGUCACCCAGGCUGGAGUGCAGUCACAUGAUCUUGACUCAUUGUAACCUCUGCCUCCUGGAAUCAAGUGAUUCUCCUGCCUCAGCCUCCUGAGUGGCUGGGAUUAUAGGCGCCCGCCACCACGCCUAGCUAAUUUUUGUAUUUUUUUCAGUAGAGACAGGGUUUCACCAUGUUGGCCAGGCUGGUCUCGAACUCCUGACCACAAGUGAUCAACCUGCCUUGGCUUCCCAACGUGCUGAGAUUACAGGUGUGAGCCACUUGGUCUGACCUCUUUUAUUUUACAUGAUAGUCAAUCCUAAUGGGUGCGAAGUCGUAUCUCAUUGUGGUUUUCAUUUGGAUUUCCCUAAUUAGUGGUGUUUCAUAUCUUUUCAUGUGCUUAUUGGCCAUUUGUAUGUCUUCCUUGGAGAAAUGUCUUUUCAAGUCUUCUGCCCAAUUUUUAAUUGGCUUGUUUGUUUUGUGUUGUUGAGUUUUAGGAGGUCUUUAUGUGUUUAGAUAUUAAUCCAUCAACAGAUAUAAGAUUUGCUGUAUUUUCUCCCAUUUUAUGGGUUUCCUUUUUACUCUCUUGAUAGUGUCCUUUGAUGCACAGAAGUUUUUAAUUUUGAUGAAGUCCAGUUUAUAUAUUUUUGUGUUGCUUGUGCUUUUGGUAUCAUAGUCAAAAAAUAGUUGCCAAAUCCAAUGUAAUGAAGCUAUUUAUCUAUGUUUUCUCCUGAAGUUUUAUCAUUUUAGUUCAUAUGUUUAGAUCUUUGAUCCAUUUCAAGUUGGUUUAUGUAUAUGGUGUAAGGUAAGGUCCAGCUUCAGUCUAUUGCUCUUGAACCUGGGAGGGGGAGGUUGCAGUGAGCGCAGAUUGCGCCACUGCACUCCAGCCUGGUGACAGAGGGAGACUCCGUCUCUAAAAAAAAAGAAAAGAAAAGUAAAGGAAAACCCCUCAAGCUUAAUGUAUUGCCUGUUAAUAGUGGUCUGUUUCUGGGUGGUGGUAUUAUGGGUUAUUAAAUUUUUAUUUUUGCAUAUGUAUGUAACAAUGUUAUGUUACUUUUAUGACAAGACAGUAAAAGGCAUUUUUGAAAAUUGAAAAUGAAAUAAAACUAGAAAGCAUAGUUAAAUCCUGUGGCAGAAUCGGUAUCUAAAAAUAAUCUUAGUAGGCUGAGAUUGAUGGACUGAAUCCAGUGAAGUUUAAUCAGGAUGGAUGAAAAAAGUAUAGACAGAUAGAUAGGUAGAUAGAUAGAUAGAUAGAUAGAUAGAUAGAUAGAUAGAGUAAUAAGUUAGUCAUAUCACUGGCUUUAAGAAAACCACCUAUAACCAAUAUAGAAAAUGAGGCAGGGGGCAUAGUGGCAGCAUAUGUUAAAGACUUAGGGGGUUUAAUUUACUCUAGCCACUUAACUUUCUGGUUGUAAGCAGCCAGCUGUUCUCUCCCCAUUUCAUUUCAUCUCACUCUCAGCUUAGUCUCUUGAUGGCAAACCUCCAUCAAGAGGUGGUGCUUCCUCAUGCUGACAUUUAAGUCUCUUCAGCAUUUACUCUGAUCUGUUCUAGCCAUCUAGUUGUCUAUUCAUCUUUUCUGACUUUUUUCAAGUUCUUUCUUUGGAGUCCUCCUGUUCCCCUCACUUUUGCUCGUACUUCAGAGAUCCAUCUCAAGUGCUGCCCUCUCCUGGAAGUCUACCUCUUGUAGUGCAGUCACAUUUUACUGAAAUGUAUAAUUCUGGGAAUUUCACAUGCUGAGAAAUUUAAAUAAAAGUUUCUUGCUUUAUGUGCAAAAUUUGAAAUAAUCCAAACCCCUCUCUAUUAGAAAACACAUAACUUCCUAUUGCCAUAGAACAUACAGCUUUAAAAAGAAACACUAGCUAUCUUUUGUCAGUUUUUUGUGACCCACCAGCAUUCUGAAGUACAGGAUAUCUGUCAGUGCCAUUGCUUGAAAACAUUCCCCAGAAGCAUUCACUUUAGAAUGGAAGUUAGAUGUUGUAAACUCGGGAAGAAGGCCAAAUGAUGACCAUGACACAACUUGCUACAAAAUAUUAAAGCUGAUGCUGGGGGUGAGGGGGCAGAAUUUAAAAGCACACUUAAAAUAGUUGAAUUGUGAAAAGGCAUAAAGAAAGCGUGGUGAUUAAGUGUGGGCUGAGGAGCCAGAUGGCUCUAGUUCAAAUCCUGAAUCUAACACCUAUUGGAUGACUUUGCCCAAAUAAUUCAAUCUCUCAUGUUUCCUCAUUUAAAAAAAAAAAAAAUUCCCAAAAGACAACUUGACAGUGGCUCCUCAUUUUUGAAAUGGGCUGAUAAUAACUCCUAGCUCAUGGAGUUGUGCAUAUUAAAUAAGUUUAGUGGCCGUAAAGCUCUUAGGAAGUGCCUAACCCAUACUAUGUGCUCAGUAAAUAUAAUUAUUUCAUUAGGAAAGUUAAUCCUGAACUAUGUGAAAUUUAAAUUGGAAUGUAUUCUUUAAACAUUAAAUGUGACCAUCCUGAAAGAAAUUCUCCUUUCUUGAUAGUUUCAAGGAAUAGUCAGAAUGCUGCCAAGCUCCUUGAAACCAUGUAGUGAGAAAUGUAGAGAGAAUUAAGGGUGAGGGGAGAUUUUUUUUGCUUUGAAAAUGUAGUCAUGCUUAUUAAAGAAAAUUUGAGAAGUUUAGAAAAGUAUAAAGAUGACAAAAAUUGCUCAUAUUCCUGCUACCUCAGUGCUAACCAUGUAAGCAUUUUAGUUAAUUUCUUCUAGUCAUUUUCCCCUUGGACAUUAAUUUUUUCAAUGUACAGACAUACGUGAUUAUAACACAUAUACAGAACUAGAGGUUAUUUAGCCUAGAGAAGUGAACCAAUGUAGCAGUCUAGAUGAGGGAUAUUGGGGGCCUGGUUUAGGUGAAUGGCUACAGAGAUAAAGCAUAGGGACAGGAGACAAAGAUAUUUCUGAGAUAGAAUCAACAAACUUUGGUGUGGUGGUUUCAAAGAUAGUUUUUUAGCUCUGGCUCCUGAAAGGAGGCAGAUGGAACAUAGGAGGAAGAGCAUAUUUGCUGGGGAAGAUGUUUGGUUUUGGACAUGCUGAGUUUGAGAUUUGAAUAGGACAUCCAGAUGGAAAUAUGUAAUAGGCAGUUGAGGUAUAUAGCAAGGACUUGAGAGAGUAAUUUGAGGGUAAUCUGCUUGGGAUGUGAAUGAGAGCACCGAAUAGUCAAAUAUGGUGCGUAAGUGAGCUAAUUUUUUACUUAUAUAUCUGACCCCUUAGUAUAUAUCAUAGCCUUUCAAGGGCAGGAAUAGAGUCUCCAUCCUUACUUCCCAGCACAGUACAAAAUAGUAGGUAUUUGUGGAAUGAGUUUACUGAAACAAAAGAGAGAGGUCAUUAAUUUGGUCACUGUAGAAUGAACUUUAGGAGGUCAUCUUUAUCAUUUAUUGCCCCUUUUCUCUUCAGUUGUGAUUUCAGUUCCUAAAGAAAAAUAAGAGACCGUGGCUGGGUACAGUGGCUCACACCUGUAAUCCCAGCACUUUGAGAGGCCAAGGUGGGAGGACCACUUGAGGCCCAGGAAUUUGAGACCAGACUGGGCAGCAAAGAGACCCUGUCCCUACAAAAAAAAAGU
rnacentral:lncRNA from 1 species